AAAUGCGAUAAGUAAUGAGAAUUGCAGAAUUCAGUGAAUCAUCGAAUCUUUGAACGCACCUUGCGCUCCUUGGUAUUCCUUGGAGCAUGCCUGUUUGAGUAUCAUGAAAUCUUCAAAGUAAAUCUUUUGUUAACUCAAUUGGUUUCUACUUUGGUAUUGGAGGUCUUUGCAGCUUCACACCUGCUCCUCUUUGUUCAUUAGCUGGAUCUCAGUGUUAUGCUUGGUUCCACUCGGCGUGAUAAGUUAUCUAUCGCUGAGGACACUGUAAAAGGUGGCCAAGGUAAAUGCAGAUGAACCGCUUCUAAUAGUCCAUUGACUUGGACAAUACUUUUAUGAUCUGAUCUCAAAUCAGGUAGGACUACCCGCUGAACUUAAGC
rnacentral:misc_RNA from 1 species